AGGGAAGUAAGCUAAAUUAAGCUUAUGGGCUCAUAUCUCAUCUAUGAAAAAUACUAUUUUUCCUUUCCU
rnacentral:tRNA from 1 species